CCUACGGGAGGCAGCAGUGGGGAAUAUUGGGCAAUGGAGGAAACUCUGACCCAGCAACGCCGCGUGAGUGAUGAAGGUCUUCGGAGUGUAAAGUUCUUUUCUAAGGGGAGAAGAAAGUGACGGUACCUUAGGAAUAAGCCUCGGCUAACUACGUGCCAGCAGCAGCGGGAAUACGUAGGAGGCGAGGGUUAUCCGGAAGGACUGGGCGUAAAGGGUGCGGAGGUGGUUUGGCAAGUUAGUAGCGAAAAUCCAAGGCUCAAACUUGGAACUACUACUAAAACUGUUGGGCUUGAGUGCAGGAGGGGCAACCGGAAUGCGUAGUGUAGCGGUGGAAUGCGUAGAUAUUAGGAGGAACACCGGUUGCGAAGGCGGGUUGCUAGACUGUAACUGACACUGAGGCACGAAAGCGUGGGGAGCAAACAGGAUUAGAUACCCCUGUAGUC
rnacentral:rRNA from 1 species